rnacentral:rRNA from 1 species
AAGUCGUAACAAGAUUCCGUAGGUGAACCCGCGGAAGGAUCAUUG